rnacentral:rRNA from 1 species
CCUACGGGAGGCAGCAGUGAGGAAUAUUGGUCAAUGGCCGGAAGGCUGAACCAGCCAUGCCGCGUGAAGGUCAGUGCCCUAUGGGCGUUAAACUUCUUUUGUGCGGGAGCAAUAAUGGUCACGUGUGGCCAGACGAGAGUACCGUACGAAUAAGCAUCGGCUAACUCCGUGCCAGCAGCCGCGGUAAUACGGGGGAUGCAAGCGUUAUCCGGGUUUAUUGGGUUUAAAGGGUGCGUAGGCUGUGAGGUAAGUCAGCGGGGAAAUGCCCCCGCUCAACGGGGUGAAGUGCCAUUGAUACUGCCUUGCUGGAAUGCGGAUGACGUGGGAGGAAUGUGUGGUGUAGCGGUGAAAUGCAUAGAUAUCACACAGAACACCGAUUGCGAAGGCAUCUCACGAAUCCGCGAUUGACGCUGAUGCACGAAAGCGUGGGUAUCAAACAGGAUUAGAUACCCGAGUAGUC